UAGCUGUAUUUCUAACAUGUUAUUUUACAAAGGGUUUUCUGACUCACAUUCAUACAGGAAAUGCUAUGACCUUGUCUUGACUCUGUGGCAUUACAGUAUUGAAGCUUAUCUCCAGAUUGGGAAGAGAUUAAAUCAUACACACAUUGCGGAGUGAAAAAAAAAUCAGAUAUCUUGUGUGCAGAUUCCAGGUUUUAGCAGAUUGAACUCUCUCCCGAACCCUCCCUUUGUUCGGCUGGAUGUGUCAUCUUAUGGACACCAGACGAUUCCUUACUACUGCUCACAUAAGGAGAGGAAAAUGCAUCAAACGCAGCCUUAUAUCAGGGAAAUGAAUGGACUGAAGGGCAAACUCAACCAAACCAUUCUUUGUUUGCAGCUCAACCCAGCAAGACUGGGUCCUAGGCCCAGACCCAGAUGAAGAGGAAGGUGCCUGUGAGCCUACAGGAGUGGAGAAGGAGGAGAGGUGGAAGACUGCCGUCGAGGCAAAGAGGUGGAUGACCAUCAAAAUAGAAGAGGAGAGGAAGGGGGUCCUUCCAUUAGUCAAGUCUCCCAGCAUGUAAAAAAACAAAGACUCAACUUUCCUCUCCAGAAAACAGACCCACAUCUCUAUUAGGCUAAAUGUUAUUCUGACCCCAAUUGACUAAGUUCCCUUGAUACAAUACACAGUCCACUCUAUUCUGCUCUCCGCUCUGUCCUCAUUUCCGCCCAGGUUGGCUCUCAAGCAGCCAAAUCCCAUUUCUGUUACUUCUAAACUAAUCCCGUUUUGAUACAAAUUAAAGGAAUCUGCAACCCAAUCUAUUUACACAAUGUAAUUUUAGCAUCAGAGGCAUAAGAUAAACUAUGUUACUGUAUAUACAAACAAUGUAACUGUUUUACCAUUUUCUGUACUGUAUAGGAUAACAAAUGUAGACAGUUUGAACAAUCCAAUGGUGCAGAAACAUUCAUUUGUGGCAGUGCUCCCUGAAAGGUUCCAUUUCCUUUUGACCCCCGCAGAAAUAACAGUUAGAUCUUUACUAUAAGAUGUCAGCUCACAUUAAUACCAUGGGACUGAGCAGCACCUGGACAAACACACACAACACUCAUCACUUUUGCUAGUGUUGAGCUUUAUGUGCUGCUGUAACGCUGUAGACGUAAAUACAUCUGUUUGCUUGUGGCUAAGGUGGCCAAAGAGGAUGACCCUUGUUCCAAUAAAGAAAAGACUGGACCUGUCUGUCUGUCUUUCUGAAUGUGUA